UACGGAGGGUGCAAGCGUUAUCCGGAUUCACUGGGUCUAAAGGGUGCGUAGGUGGGCUGGUAAGUCAGUGGUGAAAUCUCCAGGCUUAACUUGGAAACUGCCAUUGAUACUAUCAGUCUUGAAUACCGUGGAGGUCAGCGGAAUAUGUCAUGUAGCGGUGAAAUGCUUAGAUAUGACAUAGAACACCAAUUGCGAAGGCAGCUGGCUACGCGAAUAUUGACACUGAUGCACGAAAGCGUGGGGAGCAAACAGG
rnacentral:rRNA from 1 species